CUGACCCCUCGGGUCACAGAGUGGAAAGAAGUGGAUGUGUCACAGCUACGCUUCUCUCCUUGUUAGAAUAAUAUUUCUACGGUGCUUUUAGGAUGCUAAGACUAAUCAAAACAGGACAUCCUGAGGAGGGCCCUGCUCACCAGCCGCUUUAUGUUUUUGUGUUUGUGGAGGAGCGACAAUCCCAGGAAGCUGUGAGAAGGGUUCAUCAAAGCUCUGAGUAGGGGGCCCUGGCUGAAGGAUCGCUGGAAUGCGGUGUGGAAAGGAAUCUCUACUGUCCUAUUGUUCCCUUAUUUCCUCGGUCUCAUCACAUGCCGGCACGUCCAGUUCACUUACAGGUUAGUCUCCAAGGCAGUUCCCAAGACUCGCGAAGUGACCCGCAGCCCGAAGCAGCACCGUGCACACCAGUGUGCGUGCAAUGAAUCCGACCACGCACGGGGGGGAUUUUUCACCUCCGAUGGGUUACACGAGAGCGCCCACUACAUGCAGCGUGCACGUCCGCGACUUGGAAACUUCCACCAUCGGCUUCUCGCUCAACUUUUUUUUUCAACUCCAGACUUUGCGCGUGACAGCGUUCAAACUCCUGGAUGUUGUUGUUUUUUUCCCCCUAUCCCUCAACCUCUCAAUUUUUGUAUGAUUUAAUAGAUGCCCGACCUAUAUAUAUCGCGGAAAGAAAUUUAAUCUCAAAAGAAGCUAUUGGUAACAGCUGUGAUGAGAUCAGAUGACAUGUUUUAAAAGUAGGAAAAAAAAGGGAUGUUGCACCUACUUGUGGCCAGUUUCCGUGCCCUGCCUUUGGACCUCAUGGUGCCAGUCUUUCGGCGUGAGUUUGUUUGGAUUUUUUUUCUCGGAUCCCCUUUUCUCCCUUUUUGCCGUUUUCCCCUCUCUUCUACGCUCUUUUUUUUCGCUCAAUCCCAGACGCGCUAUCUCUCCAGCAUUGUCAAUCCGGACACCUUCGCACAUGCGCACUAGGCUCCAAGGUCUGCGGGCUGCACGUGCCAGACAAAGUUGUGGGAGAUUGAUCGUUUUGGGGAUGAACCUGACGUGGUCAAGAUGCACGUUGUGGAUGGUUUGUCACUUUUUUUCCCACGCUGAGCGGAAGCUUUACAAUCUGUAAAAAAAAUAAACUGUCACGUUGUUACUCCCGUUUUGAGGUUUAUUUAAUGCACCGGACAGUUCAGUUUUCCCCUCAAAAUGAGGCACUUUCAGAAAGCAGUGGGCAACUCUAUACUGUUAUUCGGCGUAGUAAAAUGUGUCAAUAUGAGCUUUUUGUGCAUUAUAAAUAAAGCUACAUUAUUUUUAACAGUACAUCCACGGACAUUCAUUAUAAAACCACUCUCCUCGGGGGUUUGGGGUGGGGGUGACCCUUUCAAGCGUCACAUUAAUCACACUUCAUUGAAAUUGCAAUGUAUCGUGUAGUUAAUAAAGAGUGCACACAUUUAAUUGUGGAAUAAUACAGAGCGGGAGAAUUGGCCUCCCGUAGAGCACCUUUUUUGUGCUGGAAAUUAUAUUGCUGAAGUAGCCAUUAAUCCCAAUUUGAGACGUUCUUGUUGCCCUGGUGUAAUACUUUAUCUGUCGGUAAUUUAUGAAGGAUUGUCUCACUUGAAUUCACUCGGGAGAACAACUCAAAUCAAAACGGAACGCACAUAAUAAUGGGAGUAUUAUAGUUAUUAUUUUAAAAACUACUAAAUUAGCCCAUGCAUGCUGUUGUCUAUAAAAACCCGCGAAGGAAAGUGAAGACUAAUUAGAAAUGAACGACCUUCAAAAAGAUCAAAAUUGUUUAUCCGUAUCAAUUUGCAGCCGACAAAAUGUCAAGCAAAAACAAACAGGAAAUGCUCUUAAAGCCAAAACAUCCUCAAGGCCUUUACAAGCUCACUUGAUCGUAAAUAAAUCAAGCCCCCCCCCGCAUUUUAACCUCACUCAAUCCCAACAAAAACGAAUUUCGUUUCUUGCCACUGUAAUAAGGUCCACUGUUAGCUACCACCAUGCCCCGAGAGUGCGCGCCCCUCACGUGUACGCGCGCAAAAUCUGAGCUCAAGUGCAAACUGUUUCCACUCCAAAGAUCCUACAAUGCGUUGAAAAA